UCUGAACCAACAGCAACCAUGAGCUUCAUCACCAUCUUCAUCUGGAUCUUCACUAGCUACUGUUUCACAGACUCAGCAGGUGGAGUGACAGUCACUCAGACGCCUGCAGUCAAACCUGUUCAACCAGGAGACACAGUUACUAUGUCCUGUAAAACCAGCCCUGAAGUUUACCAGAGUUGGGGUUAUCAGCCUCUAUCCUGGUACUUACAGAAACCUGGAGAAGCUCCUAAACUCCUGAUUUAUAAAGCAAACGUACUCCAGUCAGGAACUCCAUCUAGAUUCAGUGGCAGUGGAUCUAAGACUGAUUUCACUCUGGCCAUCAGUGGAGUCCAGACUGAAGAUGCUGGACAUUAUUACUGUCAGAGUUUCCACUACAUAAACAGUAUAUAUAUAUUCACACAGUGA